AUAACUAAGCGGAGGAAAAGAAACUAACCAGGAUUCCCCCAGUAACGGCGAGUGAAGCGGGAAGAGCUCACACUGUAAAUCCACGCUUGCGUGGAAUUGUAGUCCGAAGAGGCGUGGCCAGCCGUCGGCGGAGAACAAGUCCCUUGGAAAAGAGCAUCAUGGAGGGUGAUAAUCCCGUAUAUGUCCCCGCGCGACGUGCGUACGGCCCGCUUUCGACGAGUCGAGUUGCUUGGGAUUGCAGCUCAAAGUGGGUGGUAAAUUCCAUCUAAAGCUAAACACGAGUGGGAGACCGAUAGCGAACAAGUACCGUGAGGGAAAGAUGCAAAGAACUUUGAAAAGAGAGUUAAAGAGUGCCUGAAAUUGCUGAAAGGGAAGCGAAGGAAAUCAGUGUCUGGUGUUUUUGCUUCUCCGACGGUCUUCGGAUCGCCGGGCCGCGUUUGCGCCGUGGUCAGGGCCGGGUACUUUGAUGCGGGAUCCUUUGUCUUGGGAGGUACGUCUCUUCGGAGAGGGAAUGCCUAGAUGUGACGUCGCGUUUGUGGCCGGCCCUGACGAAAUGGUUUUCUUUAC
rnacentral:rRNA from 1 species